UACGUAGGGGGCAAGCGUUGUCCGGAAUCAUUGGGCGUAAAGAGCGUGUAGGCGGCUCGGUAAGUCCGCUGUAAAAGUCCAGGGCUCAACCCUGGAAAGCCGGUGGAAACUGUCGAGCUAGAGUCCGGAAGAGGCGAGUGGAAUUCCUGGUGUAGCGGUGAAAUGCGCAGAUAUCGUCAAGAACACCGAUAGCGAAGGCAGCUUACUGGGCUGUAACUGACGCUGAUGCACGAAAGUGUGGGGAUCAAACAGG
rnacentral:rRNA from 1 species